CCGGUGCGGAAGCGAACGCCCGGCUCCGUGAGGGGAGCGGAGAGCGGCUCGCGGCCCCGACCUGCUCGCAGCCACCUGGCCCCCCUCCUCCCGCUGGGAUCGGCCGGGUAGAGCGCGCCACGCCAGGGGGCCUCACUUUCUUCACUUCGAAGCGCUUCUUGCCGGCGCCGCUGUUGGUGCCGCUGGGGGUGUCCACAUCCAUCGCGGCCGCCAUUUUGGAUGCGUGAAUAGGCCGUUCUGCGCUGUGCGCAUGCGCGGCGGAAAGGGGCGCAGGGAGGAGUGAGCGGAAGGCGUAGGCGGAGCUUCCGCCAGGCCGCGCCCCUUCCCCACCCUUUCCGUCACCAACAGGUCUGCAGUCAUUCAAGAUAACUGGUUGUACAAGUCUGAAUGGGAAUAUUGCAAGUAAUUCUGAGGAAUCAGGAAAGAUGGGAAAAGAAAGAGGCCAGAGGCCUGGCAAUACCACACGAAUGCAAACCGUCAGCUGCACCAAACCCUUUUCACUCCUGGAGUCAAAAACAAUGCCCCAUUCUCUUACCUUCCUUUGGUCACAAAGUGGGACAAAGUACCUGCAUUUACCUACGUUUUUCAUGCUGGGGUUGGACUAGCAAAGACAGCUUCUUCAGAAGCCCAUCCAUCAGCUGCCUUCGGUUAGAAAGGAGCCUGAAGCUGAGAAAGAUUCCUUCUAACUGUGAGAUACGAACUCCCAAAGCAGUGAGUAGAUGCAGUGUUUCUCCAUGAGCAAUGCGUGCAUCACCAUAAAAGCAUUGUGCUGGUUUACUUGGACUCUAAAACUGCAGAGCUCAGCAAUACUUCAGCUGGCAUUUCUGUGAAGAUCAGCUGAGGGCACGACAUGCAAUAGCGUACCGUACAGGAGUCGCACUUCAAGUCAGAGACUGGAACGUGUCAGUUUACUUCAAGAGCAGUCUAAUCUCAUCUCUUUACGUAGGAGUAUACACACUUGUGAGCACUGAAAAGGGUACUUCAAAAUGUUUUAUAUAUUAAACAGUAACAAAAUUAAAUGCAAUUCAUACGGAUAACAUUUCUAAAUCAGUUCAUUUUCUACUUAAAAAUUGACUCUUUUCUUUAAUAAAUAAGUUCCUUGAAGAAAAAAGACAAAAGUAGGAAUUAUCUUCAGUCUCAGCCAGGUCUUUAUCAUCCAAAAAUGUUUUUAACCUUCUAAUUUCAGCAAUGAUUGAAGGAAGAGGACAUAAAAUCUGCACCAAGUAUAAAUUUCAAGAAUGCUUCUAUUUGCCAUUUGCACGUUAAAUGAUGUUUUUUUGAAGAAGUAAUAGACACAAUAAAGAAGAUAACGCAAAUUGUUCUUUCUUGACACUGCAGAUCUCUAAAAGCUUCCUGAAAUGGCGUAACUGUAUUGUCAGUCCAGCUGCCUCCAGAUAAAAUGAAAUAAUGCUUUGUGGCACAAGCAGGUUAUGACAGUCUGAAUGGAAGAGCCUGAGCAGAACAAAACUCAAAAUGGAGCAAGGCUCCCCGACAGCAAAAUAACAAUGUGACCGACUUGAAAAGACAGAGGGAAUAAUGAAAUCAGAACAAGUGGUAGAGACUUACCAUCACGGUGUGCUCAGUUUGCUGCUCCGGAUAGUUACUUCUCUUGGAUUAAUUACUGAAGAAAGGAAAAUAGGUGUAUUUGUAGGUCACCCUAUUUGAGCUGGAAGGGUGGAAGAACGCAUGGUGCUGUGCAGGGCUGGUCAUAUGGGAGUUCUCACCCUUCUCCUCCAGGUGAGGAAUUAGGCUUCAUAGAGGCAUCUCUUGGUCAGUGGUUGGUGCUGGGAGUGGCUGCUGGGUCAGCUUCCUCCAAACCCUCUCCAGACUUUUUUCCAGAGCAAAUCCCAGUGAUGAACUCUGUAAGAGGUCAUCCCUCCUUUUACUACAUUGAAUGAUAUUCAUACCUUCCAGUAUACAAUCUGGAGCAAGCUUUCCAAAGGAAACCAAUCCAUUGUGCUGAAAAAAAUCACACAACGGAAUGAAAAUAUCUCCUUGUGCAGCCCGUUUGGUCCCUGUUAGAUGCAUUAGAUGGAUCAAUACCAGUUUACCAAGCUGGGUGGAAGAAGGUUGGAGCUACAUUAAAUUUGUUUCAUGCCUGCUUGAUUUCAAAUGUGAAGCAAGAACAAUAAAUGGACAUUGAGGAUUUCAAAGAGAACCUUUGCUGUUGGGGAAGUUAAAGUGAUCAAAUUUGAAAGAACAUAGACAAUGACAAGAUAUCUUUUCUGAGACACCAAAUCCUGAGCUUGGAAUGACGCAAUGGCAGCAACAACGCAUGGGAAAACUCAGUUCUCUCCCUUGUGCUUACACUUCAAGACUGGAGCUUUUUCCUCUGCACUGACGUGAGCAGAGUGAGAUCUGCACAGCCAGGUCAUUCAGGGAACAAACGGAGACUUGAAUGAGGUCUGGACUGUGCUCAUGUCCCACACAAUUGCUCGUUUUACCAGAGCAAACAAAGGAUGGCAAAAAGAGGGGAAGGCCCCAAUAAAGAAUGGAUUCAGGCCCAGAGGAGCCACUGUGCAGUCCUUCCUGCAACUUCGCAUUUAAUUUUUAAACACAUAAAGAUUAUGUCAAGUACUAGGGAAAAGAAUUAAAGAGAUUGCGAUACUUACAGGAAGACUUGAUUUUCUUUUGUGUAUGUGUGCAAGAUCUUUCCUACCAGAGAAGAGUCAUGCGACAUAUAUGUCUCUCCAUUGCUAGUUUUCUGCCUUUCCUCUCUGGUUCUUCAUCCUUCCAGAUUUGCCUUUGCUAAUUCUCAUCAGAGAAAUAUUACUGACAGAGGAGACAAAAUUCAGAGCUGCAGAUGUUUUUAUAGCACAGUCACAGUUUCCCUGUCAAAGCAACAGUGAACUCAGAGCAGGUAUCUGUGCUCUUCGUGAACCAGAUUAAACUGCUCCUUGUCCUCUCUAUAAAGCCUGCAGUGGAAGCCAAAGUAAGUUGUAUGGAUCUGUAAUGAAAAGGACUCUUCACACCUGGAGCAAAGAGCUGAAUGAAACAAUUCCCCAUCCCAGCAUUCUCCUCCCCAGUCUCCAGAUGAAGGUCUGAUGCCUUACUGGGAAUCCACUGCUGUCACACAUAAGCUACCAGGCCUGGCAAUAAAUAAAGCAGGUAAAGUGCAAUGGUUUUAAUAGGAAAGCAUUCAAACUAUCUGAUCAAAGGGUGCCUCCUACUCUUUCGUUCUGUGACUCUGUUGGCUGAAUGCAGGCUGUAUUAUAGAAGAUGUUCAUGUCAGUUCUGUUAGCUUGUAUGUCAACAAAAAUUGGUACAUUAAGACAUGGGGUUUGGUGAUUAUGUCUUUUUGUCUUAAACAAGCCUAGAGAAGCAGAUUAUCAGUUUUGUAUACAUUACUAACAUCACUACAAUUUCAGAGAGAGCUGCACACGGAAGGAAAAUAGCAGCUCAUGGCUAAUUGCUGAGAUUAAUAUGCACUUAUCAGUAUAUUAAGAAUCUGGGUUUGCACUACAAUUCUCUUUUUCAUUAAUUGCUACACUUGUCCUGUUUUGUUUCUCUAGGAAAGUAAGAUAAAACGAUACAUUUCCGUUCUGGUUUUUGAGAGCAAUAAUGACAUCUUUCAGCAGCACAUUCUCACCUUUCUUUGGAAAGGCACUCACCUGCUGCGAAUCACGGACUGCUGUCUCCUCAAAAACCUCACAGAGCAGGGAAACUACAUUAUACCACAGGAAGAAAAAUGAAGAUGGAGGCAAUGUUAGGGGUACACGGCAGUGAUUUACAGUAAAAUAUACUGCAGAGAUAAUGUAAUUAUUCAAAGCCCAGAAACUAUAACCCUUGGACAUUCUAAGUUAAAAUCAAAUUUAACGAGAAAACCAAAUGAAGCACAAAGAAAUGCAAAGCCGAAACAUCCAAAAAAUCUCAAUUAUGCUUGGUUAAAAGCUCUUCAAAAUCUCUAACCAGCUAAAAGGCACAACAUUUGUGUGCAUAAUAUGCGUGUGUUUAUGUAUAAACUAAUACACGCAUGCUUCUGAAGAUGAAUCAUACAUUUCCACUUCAUACUUUGUAACUGGAAAUUCAUUAGAAAUCUCUUUCUGUUUCGCAGAAAAGGGCAAAAGAAAAAAAUAUACUGCAGGCCUUUAGAAAUCUCUUAAUCGUAUCCAAGUCCACAAUUGUAGAACCAUCUCAAUAAGAAUGGUGUGUUUUUGCCUGGUUACAGUCACCACAGUAACACCCAUGUAGCUGCUAAAAAGCUCAUCUGGAAAAAAAAGUGCAGGGGAAAGCAUAAAUUAG
rnacentral:lncRNA from 1 species